rnacentral:tRNA from 16 species
CAAAACCUGUGCGAGUGGUCUAAGGCGCUGCGUUCAGGUCGCAGUCCUCUCCGGAGGGCGCAGGUUCGAAUCCUGCGGAUGACA